GAGCAGACUGAAAGCAAGUGGAAAGAAAUACUGCCAGCGAAAGGUGGUGACAAAUAGUAACUUAUGAAUAAGAAUUUAUGUUAGGACAUACUGAACAAAACUUGGUACACAUAGUGGUCUCUACCAUCUAUGAUUUCUGACAACAGCUGGAUAUCUUGGAAUUCCCUGUGAUAACACACCAUAUUAUCACCUUGAUAUUCAGGGACUUAACAGGAUUUCACCCUCUGGGGAGUUCACCAUGACUCAUGAGCUCAAGCCAAAGGUUUUCAAUGCCAUAAAAAAUUGAACAGUAGAAGCACAUUUUCAGCAAGGUGAAGAAAGCAUCUGUUUUAUAAAUAAUGAUCUCAGGAAAAUGACUGAUUCAGUGCCUCACUUUAAUCUCAAGAAAACAAGCAGGGAGUUUGGUGAGCUCUAACCGUUGCCUCACUGCUCCUGUGUUCCACUGCCAACCGUCCUCCUGAGCAGCUAUGGUUAAUUCACAGAUGUGUAAACCCAGUACUAAUAUUGGUGUUGGUUGACCUCUUGGUUUGCCAUUAUUUCCCUUGACCUCUGCACAUUUGGUUUCAUGUUCAACAAGAGAAAAUCCUGAAAAUC